rnacentral:rRNA from 1 species
GCGGCAUGCUUUACACAUGCAAGUCGAACGGUAACAGGCCGCAAGGUGCUGACGAGCGGCGAACGGGUGAGUAAUGCAUAGGAAGCUGCCCGAUAGAGGGGGAUACCAGUUGGAAACGACUGUUAAUACCGCAUAAUGUCUACGGACCAAAGUGUGGGACCUUCGGGCCACAUGCUAUCGGAUGCGCCUACGUGGGAUUAGCUAGUUGGUGAGGUAAUGGCUCACCAAGGCGACGAUCUCUAGCUGGUUUGAGAGGAUGAUCAGCCAAACUGGAACUGAGACACGGUCCAGACUCCUACGGGAGGCAGCAGUGGGGAAUAUUGGACAAUGGGCGCAAGCCUGAUCCAGCCAUGCCGCGUGUGUGAAGAAGGCCUUCGGGUUGUAAAGCACUUUCAGCGAGGAGGAAGGGUGGUGUGUUAAUAGCACAUCAUUUUGACGUUACUCGCAGAAGAAGCACCGGCUAACUCUGUGCCAGCCGCCGCAGUAACAC